CAUAAAUAUGCUCGCAUACGGCUGAAGAAUAAACAUUCUUUGAUGCAACCUUUAUUUGCAGAAAGAUGCGAUUGAACUUGAGAAAACAAAUUAUUCGCAGAUGCAAAUUUUUGCCCCCCUACAGCUACAUAACGAAGGAGAAAUUUUCAAAAAUCAAGAAAUAAAAAGCCUGCGUUUUUCUUUGCUGAUACAAUAAAGUAAUCACAGCGUUAAGCAUUGAAUUGUUAUAGAAUUGAAUGAAACACGCGUUUGAGUUUCCCUUACCGUUCUGUGAUGAACAGGAUGGAAAAACCCAUCGAGAAGAACACUUCCAGAAAUAAGAAAUACGCACGCAAGAAUAAUGCUCCUAAUAUUAUAUCACGUUUGUGUGAAACAAGAUGGUCGGAAGAAUAUAAGGAAGUUUUCACAAAAUUUUCCUGAAGUUGUGGAAGCUUUAAAAAGUGGUAAAUUCAGGGAAACUUUUCCACAAGAAAGUCUGCGUAUCAAUUGUAUGCUGCUAUAACAAGGCCGAUGUUCAUCAUUGCCUUAAUGGCAAUUGCUAAAUAUUCAACGUUGCUGGAACCUACAACACACAUUUUGCAAUUGAAGACAACAGACCUUAUCUCCGUUGAUCAGCAUAUUGAAAAUAUUUUGGAGGUGGUUACGAAUGAUCGAAAGACUGCAGAAGGU